rnacentral:rRNA from 1 species
UUCUGGCUCAGGACGAACGCUGGCGGCGUGCCUAAUACAUGCAAGUCGAACGGUCUUUCUAUGGAAGCUUGCUUCCACUGAGAAGAUAGUGGCGAACGGGUGAGUAACACGUGGGUAACCUGCCCAUAAGAGGGGGAUAACAUCCGGAAACGGGUGCUAAUACCGCAUAGUUUUCUUGAUCGCAUGAUCGGGAAAGGAAAGACGGCCUUUGUGCUGUCGCUUAUGGAUGGACCCGCGGCGUAUUAGUUAGUUGGUGAGGUAACGGCUCACCAAGACGAUGAUACGUAGCCGACCUGAGAGGGUGAUCGGCCACAUUGGGACUGAGACACGGCCCAAACUCCUACGGGAGGCAGCAGUAGGGAAUCUUCCGCAAUGGACGAAAGUCUGACGGAGCAACGCCGCGUGAGUGAAGAAAAGGUUUUCGGAUCGUAAAACUCUGUUGUCAGAGAAGAACAAGUUGGAGAGUAACUGCUCCAGCCUUGACGGUAUCUGACCAGAAAGCCACGGCUAACUACGUGCCAGCCGCAGC